rnacentral:rRNA from 1 species
AGUGAACGCUGGCGGUAGGCCUAACACAUGCAAGUCGAACGGCAGCACAGUAAGAGCUUGCUCUUACGGGUGGCGAGUGGCGUACGGGUGAGGAAUACAUCGGAAUCUACUUUUUCGUGGGGGAUAACGUAGGGAAACUUACGCUAAUACCGCAUACGACCUACGGGUGAAAGCAGGGGAUCUUCGGACCUUGCGCGAUUGAAUGAGCCGAUGUCGGAUUAGCUAGUUGGCGGGGUAAAGGCCCACCAAGGCGACGAUCCGUAGCUGGUCUGAGAGGAUGAUCAGCCACACUGGAACUGAGACACGGCCCAGACUCCUACGGGAGGCAGCAGUGGGGAAUAUUGGACAAUGGGCGCAAGCCUGAUCCAGCCAUACCGCGUGGGUGAAGAAGGCCUUCGGGUUGUAAAGCCCUUUUGUUGGGAAAGAAAAGCAGCAGGUUAAUACCCCGCUGUUCUGACGGUACCCAAAGAAUAAGCACCGGCUAACUUCGUG